GUGGGGAAUAUUGGACAAUGGGGGGAACCCUGAUCCAGCCAUGCCGCGUGUGUGAAGAAGGCCUUUUGGUUGUAAAGCACUUUAAGCGAGGAGGAGGCUCUCUUGGUUAAUACCUGAGAAGAGUGGACGUUACUCGCAGAAUAAGCACCGGCUAACUCUGUGCCAGCAGCCGCGGUAAUACAGAGGGUGCGAGCGUUAAUCGGAUUUACUGGGCGUAAAGCGCGCGUAGGUGGUUAAUUAAGUCAAAUGUGAAAUCCCCGAGCUUAACUUGGGAAUUGCAUUCGAUACUGGUUGGCUAGAGUAUGGGAGAGGAUGGUAGAAUUCCAGGUGUAGCGGUGAAAUGCGUAGAGAUCUGGAGGAAUACCGAUGGCGAAGGCAGCCAUCUGGCCUAAUACUGACACUGAGGUGCGAAAGCAUGGGGAGCAAACAGGAUUAGAUACCCCUGUAGUCC
rnacentral:rRNA from 1 species